AACUGUAGUACUAAACUAGAUGGUCACAGGCCACAUCUAGCCUGCAGGGUCAGGCCUGGUUAGUACUGGAUGGGAGACCACCUAGGAUCAUCUGGUGCUAUAGGUC
ensembl:rRNA 5S_rRNA 5S ribosomal RNA